rnacentral:rRNA from 1 species
ACAAGCGGAGGAGCAUGUGGUUAAUUCGAUGAUACGCGAGGAACCUUACCUGGGCUCGAACGUAAGAUGACUGUAGGUGAAAGCUUACAUCUCUUCGGAGCAUUUUACGAGGUGCUGCAUGGUUGUCGUCAGCUCGUGCCGUGAGGUGUCGGGUUAAGUCCCAUAACGAGCGCAACCCCUACCUUUAGUUGCCAUCAGGUUAAGCUGGGGACUCUAAAGGAACUGCCUACGCAAGUAGUGAGGAAGGCGGGGAUGACGUCAAAUCAGCACGGCCCUUACGUCCAGGGCUACACACGUGCUACAAUGGCCGAUACAGAGGGCAGCUACCUGGUGACAGGAUGCAAAUCUCCAAAGUCGGUCUCAGUUCGGAUCGGAGUCUGCAACCCGACUCCGUGAAGUUGGAUUCGCUAGUAAUCGCGCAUCAGCCAUGGCGCGGUGAAUACGUUCCCGGGCCUU